AUAAGGGUAUAUAAAUACAUCAGUUCUCUAGAAAGGCACACUAUCUUUCAGGACUUGCAAUUUCAGCUUCUUGAACUCUCAUCGUGGGUAAAAGGACUCAGCCAAACAUGAAGAUCUUUGUCUUCACCUUCAUCAUGGCUCUCCUGGUUGCCAUGAUUAGUGCUGAUUCUUCUUCAUCUGAAGAGGUAAGACAUUAUCA